rnacentral:lncRNA from 1 species
UACCCUUAUUAUAUUCAUAAUAAUAUAAAUUAACUUUUCAACGGCUUCUACUGCAAAUGACAAAGAACUUGAUAGCUGGUAUCCGAGAUCUCAAGUUCAAAUCCUAGCUUAUUCAUAGUUAUUUUAAUCUCCAAAUGAAAUAGACGAAGCGGGUCUAAAAUAUAUAUAUAUUAAAUAAUUUUUGAUAAAAGUAUGAAGAUUUUUUUUUUUUGUUUAUUAAGAUUUAAAUUUUAUUAGAAAAUAAUUUAGUGAUUUUUUUUUAUUUUUGAAUUAGACGCAAAGAAAAUC